UCUGAAGCCCCUCUGUGUGGGGAACAUGACAGCCAGACCAAAGCUCAGAGGAUCCAUCAGAGACUAGGACCUGGACCCGCAUCUGGAUAUGAACCUGAUCCUGGACCUGGUCCUGAACCCAGCUGUGUGUCCAUGAAGAGUAACCGGUCUAUGGAUCGUCCUGUAAAAUUCAGAGAUGGCCGCCCGUCUGUUGAUGCAAGUUCACAUCAGCAGAGAGGAAAGUCUCCUGAACCCAGAUGUGUGUCCAU